rnacentral:miRNA from 1 species
GUGUGUGUGUGUGUGUGUGUGUGUGUGUGUGUGUGUGUGUGUGUGUGUGUGUGUACGUACGUACGUACACACACACACACACACACAC